rnacentral:rRNA from 1 species
UGGGGAAUAUUGGACAAUGGGGGCAACCCUGAUCCAGCAAUGCCGCGUGUGUGAAGAAGGUCUUCGGAUUGUAAAGCACUUUCGACGGGGACGAUGAUGACGGUACCCGUAGAAGAAGCCCCGGCUAACUUCGUGCCAGCAGCCGCGGUAAUACGAAGGGGGCUAGCGUUGCUCGGAAUGACUGGGCGUAAAGGGCGUGUAGGCGGUUUACACAGUCAGAUGUGAAAUCCCCGGGCUUAACCUGGGAGCUGCAUUUGAUACGUGUAGACUAGAGUGUGAGAGAGGGUUGUGGAAUUCCCAGUGUAGAGGUGAAAUUCGUAGAUAUUGGGAAGAACACCGGUGGCGAAGGCGGCAACCUGGCUCAUGACUGACGCUGAGGCGCGAAAGCGUGGGGAGCAAACAGGAUUAGAUACCCUGGUAGUCCACGCCUGUAAACGAUGUGUGCUAGAUGUUGGGUAACUUUGUUAUUCAGUGUCGCAGUUAACGCGUUAAGCACACCGCCUGGGGAGUACGGCCGCAAGGUUGAAAC